GUUCAGCACUAAGUCACUUUGUCUUUAUGGCAAAUGUGAGAUGCAGUGUAUGGAAUGUCAAAUUUCUAGUAUGAGAAAUUAACGAUUUAAGUCCUUCUUAAAUGAGGCCAUUUACCCACAGAGGGUGCCAGGCCCGUAUAACGUUAAUGAUUACUAGAUGGCAUUUCCAAAGAGUCGUGUUGCUUGAUAGUGCAGCACUAAGUGGGUGGUAAACUCCAUCUAAAACUAAAUAUAACCAUGAGACCGAUAGUAAACAAGUACCGUGAGGGAAAGUUGAAAAGAACUCUGAAUAGAGAGUUAAAUAGUACGUGAAACUGCUUAGAGGUUAAGCCCGAUGAACCUGAAUAUCCAUUAUAGAAAAUUCAUCAUUAUGAUUUUAAUAUUAAUAAUAUUAUAAUAAUAGUGUGCAUUUUUUCUAUAACGGACAUUGUAAUCUAUUAACAUAAAUAUAUUUAUCAUAAGAUCAAUGAUGCGUAAGUUUAUUCAAAUUAUUUUGCUUGCAAUUUAACAUAGAAUAAAUGCUCUUGAUUUGAUAAAGUGUUGAUAGAUUUAUUGUAUAUAGUGCUUAAAUAUUUAUAUUUUAUAAUAGCAUAUUAAUCACUGAUUUUUAUGUUUAUUAUAUGCACUUAUAUGAUUAACAAUGCGAAAGAUUCAGGAUACCUUCGGGACCCGUCUUGAAACACGGACCAAGGAGUCUAACAUAUUUGCAAGUUAUUGGGUGUCAAAACCUAAUAGCGAAAUUAACAUAACUUAUAUGGGAUUAGUUUUUAGAUUAUUUAUAGUCUAUUAAUUCAAUCCCGGGGCGUUCUAUACGGUUAUGUAUAAUAGUAUUUAUAUUAUUUAUACCUCUAACCAGAGCGUACCUUGAGCAUAUAUGCUGUGACCCGAAAGAUGGUGAACUAUACUUGAUCAGGUUGAAGUCAGGGGAAACCCUGAUGGAAGACCGAAACAGUUCUGACGUGCAAAUCGAUUGUCAGAAUUGAGUAUAGGGGCGAAAGACCAAUCGA
rnacentral:rRNA from 1 species